UCUACGAUGCCGUGCUUGCCUCCAAGGAAGAAAAUUAGAGCCCUUCCUCCCAGUUUCUUCAUACUUCUUCUCCCUCUCUUUUGGGGUUUAGGUACUAUUAUCAUAUUGGGGGGUUUAUGUUGUAUUUUCUAUAUCAGAGUCUGAUUUCAAGUGAGUCUUGUGUUGAUUGAUUUUUAUGCUUUUAAUGAAUAUGAUUGGGUUUAGCCAUUUUGAUUUGAUCAGUACCUGAUUUGAUGUGGGUCUUGAUAUAAUUUUUAUGUUUUUAUAAGUGGUUGGGUUUGUUUCUGAUAUGGUGAGCGAAUGCAGAAAAUUGAGGCUGAUAUUUGCGUUUUGCUACUUGAUAUGCGGCUGAUAUGGUUGAGUUUGAUUCAUUGAAGGGGAGUGCAGAUGAACUAGGGUUUCCCUCAACAAAAUUCAAUGCACUGCUACCGUGUCUGUGAGUGGCAAAACAGGGGACAUUGAAGAAGUCCCAUUUUCUUUAAGAUUAUUUCUUUGGAUUUUCCCUCUCUUCAGGUUGCAUGGGAGAGUUAAGCAGUGGCUGAGUUAGCAAUUUCAAACCAAAUAAAGCAACUGUGCAUAUUAACAAUUACAAAUUCAGAAGAUAAACAUGAAUAUUGAGUAGGAAAGAGGGGCCACAAGAUACUCUUAACUUAAGGCAAGGAUUUUCACAAAUCGAAGGUGGCUAGGACAUCGAUGUUUCCUGCGACUUCAUAUAGUCCACCUGAAUAUUCUUUAAGUCAAGAUGUGAUUGCAACUAUAGAGAAGAGUAUGAAAAAUUCUGCAGACAACCUCAUGCAGUGUCUAGAGGGAUUUAGUUCAAGGCUAUCCAAGUUGGAAUCAUGCUGCUCUUAACAAAUCCAUUGGAUAAAUGAAAUCUGAAUUAAAUCUUGACCACGGGGAGCAAGAUUUAAAGCUCAAAUCUCUUGAAAAUCAGCUUCAAGAAGUAAGUCACAACUUGAAAUGAUAAUAUCUGUAAUAGCAUUCUAGCAUUCAAGUUAUAAUACUCUAUGGUUUCAUUCAUUUUGAUGUUAUUGAAGAAUUGUUAUAUUUCUAGGUUUCUCAAAUACAAUAGGUGUAUUGUCCUCAUAGUCCGAAGAUCUUUUGUCAUGGAUGUUCAAGAUUCUAUUAUACUUUGUUCAUGUCUUUGUAAUUGAGUCUUUGUAAUUGUUAAACAGAUGCCCAAUACCUUCUAUGUUAGUAAUCAUUAAGCUUAUUUAACUACACCUGAUUUUUAGGAAAUAGAGAAAGAGAGAAAGGGAAACUCACCUCUCAAUAUUCCUCAAAGGGCCUUGAAGGAAUUCUUUUGGCUAACAACUUAAUUGUGGCCUAAUCCUAUGUUGUGGAACAUAUUAUAAGGCUUAAAACCUUUAAUCCAACAUUUUGAACCUUGGCAUGAACCAAUUCCAGAAAUUGUAGCCUAUUAUGUUAUUUUAGACCGCAAUUUAUGCUAUUCGAUUAGGCAAAUUGCCCACUUGAACUUCGGGCCACAUUCUGGCAGCUGUCUGCGAUAGUAAAUGUUAUACUGGAAGUUUAUG